rnacentral:rRNA from 1 species
UACAGAGGGUGCAAGCGUUGUUCGGAAUUAUUGGGCGUAAAGGGAGUGUAGGCGGCACACAAAGUCUUCUGUGAAAUCUACGGGCUUACCCCGUAACGUGCAGAGGAUACUGGUGAGCUAGAGUGUCGGAGAGGAUAGUGGAAUUCCAGGUGUAGAGGUGAAAUUCGUAGAGAUCUGGAGGAACACCAGUGGCGAAGGCGACUAUCUGGCUGACAACUGACGCUGAGACUCGAAAAGCAUGGGGAGCAAACAGG